CCUACGGGGGGCUGCAGUGGGGAAUAUUGGACAAUGGGGGCAACCCUGAUCCAGCCAUGCCGCGUGUGUGAAGAAGGCCCUCGGGUUGUAAAGCACUUUCAGUGAGGAAGAACGCCUGGUGGUUAAUACCCAUCAGGAAAGACAUCACUCACAGAAGAAGCACCGGCUAACUCCGUGCCAGCAGCCGCGGUAAUACGGAGGGUGCGAGCGUUAAUCGGAAUUACUGGGCGUAAAGCGCGCGUAGGUGGCUUGAUAAGCCGGUUGUGAAAGCCCCGGGCUCAACCUGGGAACGGCAUCCGGAACUGUCAAGCUAGAGUGCAGGAGAGGAAGGUAGAAUUCCCGGUGUAGCGGUGAAAUGCGUAGAGAUCGGGAGGAAUACCAGUGGCGAAGGCGGCCUUCUGGACUGACACUGACACUGAGGUGGGAAAGCGUGGGUAGCAAACAGGAUUAGAUACCCGAGUAGUC
rnacentral:rRNA from 1 species